rnacentral:lncRNA from 1 species
CUCCAUGUUAAAUAGGACUUAAUCAACAGGCUUGCUUGUGUACCAUCAAGUUUAUGUGCUAUGGAUUUACAGGUUAGGUUUAUUAGGCAAUACUUAUUACUUUCUAUUUUUAUUCUAGAACUGGAGUUGCAGGAAACAGAGAAUGAAAUUUAGCCUUCAAACUCUGUAAGUCUCAUUGGGUGGCUUUACAGAAGAGGUGAACAAAUCAGCGUGCAAGAGUGGGUGAAGUUCAGAAGCAAGAAUGUAACUGCAAUGUGAAACCAGCAGUAUGAAGUGAGAUCUGGGUUUAAUAACAUCCGUGGACAACCCAUGCAAAAUAAGAAACAGUAGAAAGGAGCGAACUUUGAGGAGCAAAAUAUGUGGGUGAAUUUCCUCUUGUAUAUUUGGAGAAGCGCAGGACUUGGAAUUCUCUGAAACAUAAACUGGCUCAUCUUCCUUCCCCAGAGAACUUGUUUCUGUUUUCUUCCAGAGUACUUACGGAGUAUGGAGGAAGGCAGUGGGCUGUCAUAAGGAGGACAUUUGCAUCAAGGUGUUUCAGUGUACCUGAAAAGAACCAUAGGAAGCGAACUGAUGCCAGAGUCCUUCUCCAGGAAGAAUUGCAGAUGCUUUCAUCCCAUAAAGCAUGUUGCCUGGACAAGUCUUCAGGAGUUGUUUGCCUGCUGGCCAUGACAACACAUGUAGCUGGUCUACACUGA